CUGAAAUAAUGGUGCUGGGUGCCUUUUAACUCCUGAAAUUAAAAGGUUUUACACUAUUCUCCCAACAGGAACCACUGAAACCAGCCCAACCUCCAGCCCCUCUCCAGCAGCAACACCUGUACCCCCAACACCUGAUGGGACAUCACCAGAGACACUUCCACCACUGCAGACAUCCACACUGGGAGAGGAAACAGCUCCAGGGUCAUCGCUGGGGACAACCACACUGCCUGACACCCCCCCAGAGCACACUGCAGUUUCCAUCCAGACUCUGGCCUCUUCCAUCGGGCUCUCAGUGCUGCUGGUUGCUGGCAUUGUGGCCUGCUGCUGCUGGAGGAGGAGAAUGUAAGUGUCUGAGCCCCAUGAGGU
rnacentral:lncRNA from 14 species